CUAAAACUGUGUAUACUUUAAUAUAGUUAAGUACAGUUUGAUGUAGUGUAAUAGGAGAGUAAAUAUUUCUUGAUGCAUGCAAUUUAAGUGUACACUGAAAAAGCACACAGAGUAAUAUGGCCUAUGCUACAACUAGAGUGCAGUUUUAUCGUUAACUGUUGUGUGCUGUUCUACAAAAUAUUAUUUUGUAGUGUUAACGUGGUUUAUAGAAGUAAAAUAUUGUGUAAUAUGGUGUAGUCCAGUGAAGAAUGCUGAAGUGCAGUAUAGUAGUAAAAGACUGUACAGUAUAGUAUAGAAAGAGAGCGAUCACAUGCUGCUGUAGUGGAUUGAAACUCAACAGAUGCAGGUGAAACAGUGAUUGGAAGAGAUCAGAUGAAACGUGAAUAGAAUGAGGCGUGUGUGUGUGUGUGUGUGUGUGUCUGCAGAGGGAAACAGUGUCUCUCUUUUAUGAGCUCUUCUGCUGUAUAAUUGCUCCCUGCCUCUUCCUGUGAUCCACGCUGAUGGAGGGGAGGGCUCAACUUCUGACGUUAUAGAAAUAGGAAUUCCCUUCGCUGGUCUCUCUCGCUCUGCUCUCAUUCACUUUCACCCUGUCUGGCCCCCAGACGAACUCUCUCUCUUUCUCAUCUCUUUCUCUUUCUCUCACUCUCUCUCUCUCUCUCUCUCUCUCUCUCUCUCCUAUAUUAACACUCAUAGAGUCUAUACAGGAGUUGGACACUCCCUCUGAGACACAACUGCUAUAAGGUUCCUCUCACGCUCUGAACGGAGGCGAUACAGAGAGACAGAGCAGUCCGAUCUUCCAGGUAAGAGGCCAGAGUCACACUUCUGAACUUACAAUAACAUCUGCAUGUGGUUUCUCUAUGGCUCUUUACGUUUGCAAGGCGUUUUGAUCUUAAAAAACACCCUUUGUUCAGCACUUUGGAGGUUUGCGCUGUAGUUGGUGAUGGUCGGACUGACUUUUUGAGUUCAGUCAGAGAAGUGAUCCACUUGAGUGUCCAAAGGAAAGGUCAUCCGUAAAUAGUUUCUUUGAAUGGGCCGUCUAAACGACUGGGCGACAUCUGUCAGGCAGACAUGAGUUCGGGGCGGCGUGAAGCGGAGGUCAUAAAAACGCUC
rnacentral:lncRNA from 1 species